CCUACGGGAGGCAGCAGUGAGGAAUAUUGGUCAAUGGGAGAGAUCCUGAACCAGCCAAGCCGCGUGAGGGAAGACGGCCCUAUGGGUUGUAAACCUCUUUUGUCGGAGAACAAAACCCGGGACGUGUCCCGGACUGCGUGUAUCCGAAGAAAAAGCAUCGGCUAACUCCGUGCCAGCAGCCGCGGUAAUACGGAGGAUGCGAGCGUUAUCCGGAUUUAUUGGGUUUAAAGGGUGCGUAGGUGGUCCGUUAAGUCAGCGGGAAAAUUGCGGGGCUCAACCCCGUCGAGCCGUUGAAACUGGCAGACUUGAGUUGGCGAGAAGUACGCGGAAUGCGCGGUGUAGCGGUGAAAUGCAUAGAUAUCGCGCAGAACUCCGAUUGCGAAGGCAGCGUACCGGCGCCAGACUGGCGCUGAGGCACGAAAGCGUGGGGAUCGAACAGGAUUAGAUACCCCAGUAGUC
rnacentral:rRNA from 1 species